GGUCGGGCCCCGCGGGUGGCACGGCCGUGAAUCUGGUCAGGGCCUGACCGCAGCAGCCAUAAGCGGACCGGCCAGGCCGUGGAUCGCCUGGCCGUC
rnacentral:SRP_RNA from 2 species